rnacentral:misc_RNA from 1 species
AGCCGGUCGUAUGGCUAUACGGUACAAUUAUUGGUGAACAGCUAAAUAGCAAUGUCCAAUGUAAGCAUUGAACAGUUUUUAUAUGGUGAAAACUAAAAGUAGAGGCAUUAAUUUAACAUGGGUGACCAAAUUCGCAUUUUUAAUAUUAACUCAUGGCUACAGAAAAUGGACUGAUAAUUUACACCUCAUUAUUGAAUAGACAGAUUACAGCAAUUAAAAAUGAACUCCAGAAAAGUACAUACACAACUCAAAAUAGGAGGAGAGAAGUCAUUAAUGAUAAGCAAGCAUAUUGACACACAAUACUGAAGAGACCUAUCUCUUAUGUAUUUCAUGCACUCAUGGCCCAUGCAUAUCUCCACGGGAAUCAACCGAAUAAAAGUAGUACUUUUUUUUUUUUU